rnacentral:rRNA from 1 species
GGGGAAUAUUGCACAAUGGGCGCAAGCCUGAUGCAGCCAUGCCGCGUGUAUGAAGAAGGCCUUAGGGUUGUAAAGUACUUUCAGCGGGGAGGAAGGUGUUAAGAUUAAUACUCUUAGCAAUUGACGUUACCCGCAGAAGAAGCACCGGCUAACUCCGUGCCAGCAGCCGCGGUAAUACGGAGGGUGCAAGCGUUAAUCGGAAUUACUGGGCGUAAAGCGCACGCAGGCGGUCAAUUAAGUCAGAUGUGAAAGCCCCGAGCUUAACUUGGGAAUUGCAUCUGAAACUGGUUGGCUAGAGUCUUGUAGAGGGGGGUAGAAUUCCACGUGUAGCGGUGAAAUGCGUAGAGAUGUGGAGGAAUACCGGUGGCGAAGGCGGCCC